GAUGAACGCUAGCUACAGGCUUAACACAAGCAAGUCGAGGGGAAACGAUAUUGGAAGCUUGCUUCCGAUAGGCGUCGACCGGCGCACGGGUGAGUAACGCGUAUCCAACCUGCCCAUCACUUGGGGAUAACCUUGCGAAAGUAAGACUAAUACCCAAUGACGUCUCUAGAAGACAUCUGAAAGAGAUUAAAGUUUUAUCGGUGAUGGAUGGGGAUGCGUCUGAUUAGCUUGUUGGCGGGGUAACGGCCCACCAAGGCGACGAUCGGUAGGGGUUCUGAGAGGAAGGUCCCCCACAUUGGAACUGAGACACGGUCCAAACUCCUACGGGAGGCAGCAGUGAGGAAUAUUGGUCAAUGGGCGAGAGCCUGAACCAGCCAAGUAGCGUGCAGGAUGACGGCCCUAUGGGUUGUAAACUGCUUUUAUAAGGGAAUAAAGUGGGAGUCGUGACUCCUUUUGCAUGUACCUUAUGAAUAAGGACCGGCUAAUUCCGUGCCAGCCGCCGCUGUAA
rnacentral:rRNA from 1 species